rnacentral:rRNA from 1 species
CCAGACUCCUACGGGAGGCAGCAGUCGAGACUCCUUCACAAUGGGGGCCCCCCUGAUGGUGCGCCGCCGCGUGGGGGCCUGAAGGUCUUCGGAUUGUAAACCCCUGUCAUGUGGGAGCAACUUAAAAAGCUAGUACCACAAGAGGAAGAGACGGCUAACUCUGUGCCAGCAGCCGCGGUAAUACAGAGGUCUCAAGCGUUGUUCGGAAUCACUGGGCGUAAAGCGUGCGUAGGCUGUUUCGUAAGUCGUGUGUGAAAGGCGCGGGCUCAACCCGCGGACGGCACAUGAUACUGCGAGACUAGAGUAAUGGAGGGGGAACCGGAAUUCUCGGUGUAGCAGUGAAAUGCGGAGAGAUCGAGAGGAACACUCGUGGCGAAGGCGGGUUCCUGGACAGUAACUGACGCUGAGGCACGAAGGCCAGGGGAGCGAAAGGGAUUAGAUACCCGUGUACA